rnacentral:rRNA from 1 species
GCUAGCGACGUGCCGUGAGCGGUGGGAGUAGGUCGGGUGCAAGGGUUGUCCGGUUUCACUGGGGGUAAAGGGUGCGUAGGCGGUAGGGUAAGUCCGCGGUGAAAUCUCACGGCUCAACCGUGAAACUGCCGUUGAUACUGCUUUUCUUGAGUUCGGGAGAGGUUGAUGGAAUUCCAGGUGUAGCGGUGAAAUGCGUAGAUAUCUGGAAGAACACCAGUGGCGAAGGCGGUCAACUGGCCCGAAACUGACGCUGAGGCACGAAAGCGUGGGGAGCGAACAGGAUUAGAUACCCGUGUAGUC